CCUACGGGAGGCAGCAGUGGGGGAUAUUGCACAAUGGGGGGAACACUGAUGCAGCGACGCCGCGUGGGUGAAGGAGUGCUUCGGCAUGUAAAGCCCUAUCUGCAGGGAAGAAGCAAGACGGUACCUGACUAAGAAGCCCCGGCUAACUACGUGCCAGCAGCCGCGGUCAUACGUAGGGGGCGAGCGUUAUCCGGAUUCACUGGGUGUAACGGGAGCGUAGACGGCCAUGGAAGCCAGGGGUGAAAGCUCGGGGCCCCAACCCGGGACUGCCCUUGGAACUGGAUGGCUGGAGUGCGGGAGGGGCAGGCGGAAUUCGUGGGGUAGCGGUGAAAUGCGUAGAUAUCAGGAGGAACACCGGCGGCGAAGGCGGCAUGCUGGACCGCGACUGACGUUGAGGCUCGAAAGCGUGGGGAGCGAACAGGAUUAGAUACCCUUGUAGUC
rnacentral:rRNA from 1 species